UGGCUCAGGAUGAACGCUAGCGGCAGGCUUAACACAUGCAAGUCGAGGGGCAUCACGUCUUCGGAUGGUGGCGACCGGCGCACGGGUGCGUAACACGUAUACAACUUGCCCGUCAUAGGGGAAUAACCCGGAGAAAUUCGGACUAAUACCCCGUAAGUAUAGAGGGGGCAUCCUCUUUAUAUUAUAGAUUUAUUGAUGACGGAUAGGUAUGCGCAGCAUUAGGUAGUUGGUGAGGUAACGGCUCACCAAGCCGACGAUGCUUAGGGGAACUGAGAGGUUUAUCCCCCACACUGGUACUGAGACACGGACCAGACUCCUACGGGAGGCAGCAGUGAGGAAUAUUGGUCAAUGGACGAAAGUCUGAACCAGCCAUGCCGCGUGCAGGAUGACGGCUCUAUGAGUUGUAAACUGCUUUUGUAUGAGGGUAAAGUUGGGUACGUGUACCCAUUUGAAAGUAUCAUACGAAUAAGGAUCGGCUAACUCCGUGCCAGCAGCCGCGGUAAUACGGAGG
rnacentral:rRNA from 1 species